UUUUUUUACCUCUUUGUAGUGGUGCAUACUUCACUAAAUAAUCUUCGAGAUUAGAGGUUAAUCUCACUACGUCUUGAUGGUCCCCAAUUGGUGUUUACAUUGUCCUUGAACUCGAUCUUUUACUCCUCCUCCGACGACUGGAUUUGAUGUCUAUGCCGCGACUCAAAUUCCUUUGGUCUCCUCUGGUCGAGGUCAGUCUUCAGCCAAGACUGUCAUUAAAUGGUUUAAAGAUUGGGUUUCUCCUCCUCCUAAUAAUAAUAAGAUGGAUCAGGGGUGAAGACCACACACUUCUAUUGGGCAUGUUGUUGUCACCACC
rnacentral:lncRNA from 1 species